rnacentral:rRNA from 1 species
GUAACCUGCCCAUCAGAAGGGGAUAACACUUGGAAACAGGUGCUAAUACCGUAUAACAAUCGAAACCGCAUGGUUUUGAUUUGAAAGGCGCUUUCGGGUGUCGCUGAUGGAUGGACCCGCGGUGCAUUAGCUAGUUGGUGAGGUAACGGCUCACCAAGGCCACGAUGCAUAGCCGACCUGAGAGGGUGAUCGGCCACAUUGGGACUGAGACACGGCCCAAACUCCUACGGGAGGCAGCAGUAGGGAAUCUUCGGCAAUGGACGAAAGUCUGACCGAGCAACGCCGCGUGAGUGAAGAAGGUUUUCGGAUCGUAAAACUCUGUUGUUAGAGAAGAACAAGGAUGAGAGUAACUGUUCAUCCCUUGACGGUAUCUAACCAGAAAGCCACGGCUAACUACGUGCCAGCAGCCGCGGUAAUACGUAGGUGGCAAGCGUUGUCCGGAUUUAUUGGGCGUAAAGCGAGCGCAGGCGGUUUCUUAAGUCUGAUGUGAAAGCCCCCGGCUCAACCGGGGAGGGUCAUUGGAAACUGGGAGACUUGAGUGCAGAAGAGGAGAGUGGAAUUCCAUGUGUAGCGGUG